GAUGAACGCUGGCGGUGUGCCUAAUACAUGCAAGUCGAGCGAACGGACGAGAAGCUUUCUUCUCUGAUGUUAGCGGCGGACGGGUGAGUAACACGUGGAUAACCUACCUAUAAGACUGGGAUAACUUCGGGAAACCGGAGCUAAUACCGGAUAAUAUUUUGCACCGCAUGGUUCAAAAGUUAAAGACGGUCUUGCUGUCACUUAUAGAUGGAUCCGCGCUGCAUUAUCUAGUUGGUAAGGUAACGGCUUACCAAGGCAACGAUGCAUAGCCGACCUGAGAGGGUGAUCGGCCACACUGGAACUGAGACACGGUCCAGACUCCUACGGGAGGCAGCAGUAGGGAAUCUUGCACAAUGGGCGAAAGCCUGACGGAGCAACGCCGCAUGAGUGAUGAAGGUCUUCGGAUCGUAAAACUCUGUUAUUAGGGAAGAACAUAUGUGUAAGUAACUGUGCGCAUCUUGACGGUACCUAAUCAGAAAGCCACGGCUAACUACGUG
rnacentral:rRNA from 1 species